rnacentral:lncRNA from 1 species
CACCCUUCAUUCAUGAAACUUUUUGGGUUAGAAGGGGGGGAAACCUAGAUCUACGAAAGAGGAUAGAGGAGCUCCUCCCUUUUUCUAGCCUUUUUUUUUUCUAAAAAGGAACCGGAAGUGGCGAGAGGGCGCGUCCGGUCUCUUCCCGACUCUGUGGUCUCCGGGGAAGGCGCUUGCAAGGGGGUCUCCUCGGGAGUUUCCGGCAUCAGGACCUGCAAGGAGAAGUGCUCUCUGAGAUUGCCAGUUCCCCUUUCUGAAUUGGGAGUGUGUCUCUUCAUCUGCUGGUGUUCUUUCAGGAGUUGACUUCGUAUUUCCUCAGUGGAAAAUGGGAUCUUCUGCAUCCAGGCUAGAGGGUUCCACACGCUGAUGUCCUACUUGAGAUUUCUGGGAACAAGAAGGUCUCUCCAGGUAACUGGAACCAGAAUUCUAUGUGGCCAGUUCUUCUGUCACCAGAAAAUAACCAUAUGGGAAGAAGGAAAAAGAAGGAAGGAGAUACUGAAAAGGUGAAAAAAGGCAGAAGGGAAGAGAUAAAACAAGAGGGAAACGAAAAUUUCUAGCUUCUCCUGAGUCUGAGGCUUAACAUCU